rnacentral:rRNA from 1 species
UCAGCACUAACACAUGCAAGUAGAGCGGUAAGGCCCUUUGGGGUACACGAGCGGCGAAGGGUGAGUAACACGUGAGCAACCUGCCCCCGANUCCGGGAUAAGCGGUGGAAACCCCGUCUAAUACCGGAUACGCCCCGUCACCUCANGGUGUUUGGGUCGAAAGUUUUUUCGGUUGGGGANGGGCUCGCGGCCAAUCAGCUUGUUGGUGGGGUAACGGCCCACCAAGGGGAUUANGNGCCGACNUGAGAGGGCGNCCGGCCACANUGGGAGAGACNCGGCCCAGACUCAUACGGGAGGCAGCAAUGGGGAAUAUUGCACAAUGGGCGCAACCAUGAUGCAGCGACCCGGCGUGGGGGAUGACGGCCUUCGGGUCUAAACAUCUUUUAACACUCACGCAGGGUACCUUNUCGNGGANCCCNANCC